rnacentral:rRNA from 1 species
AUUGAACGCUGGCGGCAUGCUUUACACGUGCAAGUCGAACGGUAACAGGCCUUCGGGUGCUGACGAGUGGCGCACGGGUGAGUAAUGCAUCGGAACGUGCCCAGAGGUGGGGGAUAACGCAGCGAAAGCUGUGCUAAUACCGCAUGUGAUCUGAGGAUGAAAGCGGGGGACCAAGCAGCAAUGUUUGGCCUCGCGCCUCUGGAGCGGCCGAUGUCAGAUUAGGUAGUUGGUGGGGUAAAGGCCUACCAAGCCGACGAUCUGUAGCUGGUCUGAGAGGACGACCAGCCACACUGGGACUGAGACACGGCCCAGACUCCUACGGGAGGCAGCAGUGGGGAAUUUUGGACAAUGGGCGCAAGCCUGAUCCAGCAAUGCCGCGUGCGGGAAGAAGGCCUUCGGGUUGUAAACCGCUUUUGUACGGAACGAAAAGGCUCUGGCUAAUACCUGGGGCUGAUGACGGUACCGGAAGAAUAAGCACCGGCUAACUACGUG